rnacentral:rRNA from 1 species
CCUACGGGUGGCAGCAGUGGGGAAUAUUGCACAAUGGGGGGAACCCUGAUGCAGCGACGCCGCGUGGGGGAAGAAGGAUUUCGGCGUGUAAAGCCCUGUCAGCAGGGAAGAAAAUGACGGUACCUGACGAAGAAGCACCGGCUAACUCCGUGCCAGCAGCCGCGGUAAUACGUAGGGGGCAAGCGUUACCCGGAUUUACUGGGUGUAAAGGGGGCGUAGGCGGGGAUGCAAGUCAGAAGUGAAAGCCCGGGGCGUAACCAUGGGACUGCAUUUGAAACUGUGAUGCUGGAGUGCAGGAGAGGUAGGCGGAAUUCUUGGUGUAGCGGUGAAAUGCGUAGAGAUCAAGAGGAACACUGAUUGCGAAGGCGGCCUGCUGGACUGUAACUGACGUUGAGGCGCGAAAGCGUGGGGAGCAAACAGGAUUAGAUACCCUUGUAGUC